AAAGAUGGCUGGUGGUUGCCUACAGCGCUCGAGCUCCUUCCUUACAUACAGUGCUUUGCUGUUGCUUUGGGUCUCCCUCCAAGAUGUGGAGGCUUCCAACUGUCCACGCAUCAUCCAUAAACAAGUUGGAGACACUGUGGAGCUUCCACCAUGCUUACCAACUGAAGGGGUCACCUCAGCAACUUGGAAAUAUGGAGAUAAAGUAGUUGCAGACAUGGAACAAAGCUUAAAUACUCAUUCCACAGACAGAAUAUAUCUAAACAACACAACCUUUAGUUUAACAGUGAGAAGACUGACUGCUCAAGAUUCUGGUAAUUACAGUUUUCUCUCAGAGGCGAAGGGCGUGCAAAGACACACAGUCAUCAUCACUCUGCACGUUCAUGAGCCCAUAACUACACCUGUCCUGACUGCCAGCACCACCUCACAUGCCUUCAAUGGAUCCUGCACAGUUUUCCUGCGGUGCAUGUCUGACGGCCAGGUCAACUACAACUGGACCGUGAGGAACCGGACCCACCGUGGCUCCAGUACACAGCAUUACACCAUCAGGCCGCAGGACGGAGAGACCACAUUCACCUGCACGGUUUGGAAUGUAGUCAGUGAGCAAUCUGCGUCCACAACAGUGACAUGUAGCAACGACACGUCACAAAAACCAGUGCCCAGCCCGUCAUCUCUCGUCCUGUUCUUUGUUCGGCUGAUUAUUGGGGUUUUGGUGAUUGUUGUACUUGUGCUCUCGCUGCUUUACUACACAAAGUCAAAGGGUGAGUCGUCCUCUUGCUGAUAUUCACCUGGUAACAAGAUGAUUGUGGAGUCAUUAAAUUGAUCUGUGGUUUAAUUCGCAGCAAAAAAACCAAAAACAAUUGACAACAUUUGUCUUUUUUUUUUUUUUUUUUUUUACAGCUGUAUGUUGUAACAGGUCAGUGUGACACUCUUCUUUCAUUUCCAACUUAACAGCAGAAAUACAAUUUAGUAGAUACUCUUGUUAUAGUUAAUUACUGCUUAUAUACAUAUUUUUCCAUGAUUUACUCUGUGUUUCAGGCUCACACAGACUCCUCCAGCCAACCAGGAUGAAAGUCAACAGCCUGUGUACUCCUGUCUUCUCUAUGGUGAUGGUUCAAUCUAUGAAACAAUGAGAGGCCGUGAAGAUGCUGCAGGGUAUGCAGUAGUAGAUACAAAAUUCAUUCAUCAAUGAAGACACAGGAAAUGGUCCAUAAAGAUAAGUGCAUCGUCAACAAACACAGAAGAAGCACACAGAAGCACAGAUGAUAUUCAUGUUUAGGGGUUUUUGUUGGAGCAUUUAUAUUACUUGGAAUAGUUAGAGGUUUAUGACACAAGUGAUUGCUUAAUGAUUAAUGAACGUUGCUAAAUGAGGAUGAAUGAGCUAAAAGCUGGCAUCUGAGUCAGAGUUCAGUGAGAAAGCCCAGGGACAGACAUUGUAUUGUUUCUCAUAUGUGAUUAACUGUUGUUAAGGAGAACAGAUUAUGAUGCAAAUUCAACAAAAAAAAAACCUCCUUUUGAAGCCAGCUGUCAGUAUUGUUUUCAUACUGAUCAUUUUUUGUCAUGCCUGUAUGUUACAUAUUUAGCCACUUGAUGGUGCACUGUGGUAUUCCUUUCAGUUACCAGGCAGUUUAGUCUGCAAUACAGCUGCUUCUGUGAGUUCACGUAUGAUGCAUGAUUUAAUACCUGAGGAUGUUGACUGUGUUUAACAAUGCAUCAUCAUUGUAGACCAUUGUUUUGUAGGUUUUGUGAAUUUCUACAAUUCAGAUUUUUUUUUCCUCCAUUUGGGCGAAGAAUGUUAGAUGUUAGAUACAGCAAGUACGUAUGAUAUCUUUUAUUUAAUGGAUAUUAUUGAUAUGUAAAUGAUUGUACACUUGUGAACUCAUCUGGUCAUUGCUUCAGAGUUUUGUAAAGGAUAUGAAGCACCAGGGCGUGUUAAUCUUGGUUCUGUUUCUCUAAUGACUCACUGACCAGCAUCACUUUACCGUCAUUGUGUUACUUCUUCUUUCAGAAUAAAUGUGAACAAUCGAUGUUACACUUCAGGGUUCCAAGUAUUUUACUAAAUGGUCAGUUGGUUUCGCUGAAUGCCCAGAGGGACUUUUUUUAAAUGAAUAUUUUAAUAUGUUUGAAAGCGAAAAUGAUGUGACAAAGAGGAGAAUGGGAGAAUUUAUUAUAUAUUUAUUCAGUGUGUUCAUGUGCUUUUGAGGAAACAAUAUGGAAACAACAGGGAGGAUACAGAGAAGAUGUGUUGUAUUUUGUUGCUCUGAGCGUUAAAACAACACAUUUAUGUUUCUCGUAUUUGAGUUAUUAUCAGGGCUACUGCUAAUACACAACUUUUCAAACUAAUUUACAUGGACAGCAACUAACGGUGACAACCUAAUACUAUCUUACAUAUUUAAUUUUAACAUAAAAAUCGAUAUGCAAUACAUGAAAAUGUCGAUGUUUCUUCGUAUACAAUGUUACAACUUGGAAACUCAUGUAGCCUACCAAAGUUUUUGCUGACUCUAGAUCAUUAAACUGAAUUGAUGGGGAGUUCACAUCAAUUUUCCCGGUCAGAAACUAAUUUUUCUGAUUAUUCCAACACCAUCUGAAUGCUAGGAGUUUACAGCCAUGCUAGCACUGCAGUGCUUUGAGCUAAGUGCUAAUGGCAUCAACAUGGCAACAAGCUCACAAUGGUUAACAUGCAAAUGCUUAGAGAGUGUAAUCUUUAACAUGUUCACCAUCUUAGCUUAGCUUAUUAGUGCAUUUGUCUAAUUGACGCUACCCACAAAGUGAGUCUUAUCAGAAACAGGGUUCCAGGAUCAGUUUCAUUGACAUUAUAUACUAUAGAGGUGCACAAUAAAAUGCAGUUAGAGCAAUUCAAUUAGCUUGUGGUCAUAAAGAAAAAAGUAUGUGAUAUCUGACCAGCUAAUGGCGCAAGAGGAAAGGUCAAUGGAUCACCAAAGUUGAUUGAUGAUUAAAUAUAUUUCACUGUAGAAUAUCACAAAAACUGGUAAUUUAAUGAAAAUGUAAAUUACGGUAGGUCUAUUAGUUUGGUAGACUAGGUGCAAAUGGUCUGUGAAGUGGCUACUGUGAGAUUCAGGUGAGAUCUCAGUGUUGUUCACAAGUCAUAAAAUUGGUGUGAUACAAGCGUGGGAUGGAAACACAGUUCUGAGAGACACAGUUGCGUUGGGCUGGCUGCAUCUGGUGGGUUGUUUCAUCCUGUGGGUUUCAUGUCAGUGUUGAUCUGUGAACAGGCCCUCAAGUACAUAGGAAACCAAGUCGUGUUGCAAGCAGUGCACAGACCACCUCUGCAGGAACACCACACCAGAAGGUGUUAAGGUCGGACUUGCUUGCAGAAGAGUCCCCUUGUGCUUUCAUCAUCGCCAUUCAACAUUCAGACUAUUGAGCUAAA